CCUUUAAACAAAAGGGUACCUGUACCCAAAACUAACAAAGGUGGGCAGGUGGAGAAUAUCUAGGGGCGUGAGAUAACUUUCUCUAUGGAACUCGAUAAAAUAGCCCCGUAACUUCGGGAGAAGGGGCGCCUCCUCACAAAGGGGGUCUUAGUGACUAGGCCCGGGCGACUGCUUACCAAAAACACAAGUCUCGGCAAAGUCAUAAGACCAUGUAUGGGGGCUGACGCUUGCCCAGUGCCGGAAGGUCAAGGAAGUUGGUGACCUGAUGAUAGGGGAGCCGACGACCGAAGCCCCGGUGAACGGCGGCCGUAACUAUAACGAUCCUAAGGCAGCAAAAUUCCUUGUCAGGUAAUUUCUGACCUGCACAAAAGUCAUAACGAUCUAGGCACUGUCUCGGAGAGAGGCUCGAUGAAAUAUACAUGCCUGUGAAGAUGCGGAC
rnacentral:rRNA from 1 species